AUUGAACGCUGGCGGUAGGCCUAACACAUGCAAGUCGAACGCGAAAGUCCUUCGGGAUGAGUAGAGUGGCGGACGGGUGAGUAACGCGUAGGAAUCUAUCCUGUAGUGGGGGAUAACGUUUCGAAAGGAACGCUAAUACCGCAUACGCCCUACGGGGGAAAGCGGGGGAUCUUCGGACCUCGUGCUAGAGGAGGAGCCUGCGUCGGAUUAGCUAGUUGGUGAGGUAAAGGCUCACCAAGGCGACGAACCGUAGCUGGUCUGAGAGGAUGAUCAGCCACACCGGAACUGAGACACGGUCCGGACUCCUACGGGAGGCAGCAGUGGGGAAUAUUGCGCAAUGGGCGAAAGCCUGACGCAGCCAUACCGCGUGUGUGAAGAAGGCCUUCGGGUUGUAAAGCACUUUCAGUGGGGAGGAAAAGCUGGCGGCUAAUAUCCGCCGGCCGUGACGCUACCCACAGAAGAAGCACCGGCUAAUUCCGUGCCAGCCGCCGCCGUAAGAC
rnacentral:rRNA from 1 species